rnacentral:lncRNA from 1 species
GAAAAAUUGCACUAAAACCAAAACAACCCAAAAUUGUAAUCCUAAAGAAAUAACGGACAGAGUUCCGUCAAAUGAUUGGUCCUCACAUUCUAGUACGAAUAAAUUAGCUAGACAUGAUUACGAUAGGUAAAAAGGAAUUUGGUUUACAUUUGGAAUUAAACAUAACGACGGUUUUAAACAAAGCAAUUUAAAGGAAAAGGCGAGGAAAUAAAAUGUGAUAAAUAAAGUAAGGGAAAAUAAAGCAAAG